GGGUUGUGAGGUUAAGCGACUAAGCGUACACGGUGGAUGCCCUGGCAGUCAGAGGCGAUGAAGGACGUGCUAAUCUGCGAUAAGCGUCGGUAAGGUGAUAUGAACCAUUAUAACCGGCGAUUUCCGAAUGGGGAAACCCAGUGUGAUUCGUCACACUAUCAUUAACUGAAUCCAUAGGUUAAUGAGGCGAACCGGGGGAACUGAAACAUCUAAGUACCCCGAGGAAAAGAAAUCAACCGAGAUUCCCCCAGUAGCGGCGAGCGAACGGGGAGCAGCCCAGAGCCUGAAUCAGUGUGUGUGUUAGUGGAAGCGUCUGGAAAGGCGUGCGAUACAGGGUGACAGCCCCGUACACAAAAAUGCACAUAUUGUGAGCUCGAUGAGUAGGGCGGGACACGUGGUAUCCUGUCUGAAUAUGGGGGGACCAUCCUCCAAGGCUAAAUACUCCUGACUGACCGAUAGUGAACCAGUACCGUGAGGGAAAGGCGAAAAGAACCCCGGCGAGGGGAGUGAAAAAGAACCUGAAACCGUGUACGUACAAGCAGUGGGAGCACGCUUAGGCGUGUGACUGCGUACCUUUUGUAUAAUGGGUCAGCGACUUAUAUUCUGUAGCAAGGUUAACCGAAUAGGGGAGCCGAAGGGAAACCGAGUCUUAACUGGGCGUUAAGUUGCAGGGUAUAGACCCGAAACCCGGUGAUCUAGCCAUGGGCAGGUUGAAGGUUGGGUAACACUAACUGGAGGACCGAACCGACUAAUGUUGAAAAAUUAGCGGAUGACUUGUGGCUGGGGGUGAAAGGCCAAUCAAACCGGGAGAUAGCUGGUUCUCCCCGAAAGCUAUUUAGGUAGCGCCUCGUGAAUUCAUCUCCGGGGGUAGAGCACUGUUUCGGCAAGGGGGUCAUCCCGACUUACCAACCCGAUGCAAACUGCGAAUACCGGAGAAUGUUAUCACGGGAGACACACGGCGGGUGCUAACGUCCGUCGUGAAGAGGGAAACAACCCAGACCGCCAGCUAAGGUCCCAAAGUCAUGGUUAAGUGGGAAACGAUGUGGGAAGGCCCAGACAGCCAGGAUGUUGGCUUAGAAGCAGCCAUCAUUUAAAGAAAGCGUAAUAGCUCACUGGUCGAGUCGGCCUGCGCGGAAGAUGUAACGGGGCUAAACCAUGCACCGAAGCUGCGGCAGCGACGCUGAUGCGUUGUUGGGUAGGGGAGCGUUCUGUAAGCCUGUGAAGGUGUGCUGUGAGGUAUGCUGGAGGUAUCAGAAGUGCGAAUGCUGACAUAAGUAACGAUAAAGCGGGUGAAAAGCCCGCUCGCCGGAAGACCAAGGGUUCCUGUCCAACGUUAAUCGGGGCAGGGUGAGUCGACCCCUAAGGCGAGGCCGAAAGGCGUAGUCGAUGGGAAACAGGUUAAUAUUCCUGUACUUGGUGUUACUGCGAAGGGGGGACGGAGAAGGCUAUGUUGGCCGGGCGACGGUUGUCCCGGUUUAAGCGUGUAGGCUGGUUUUCCAGGCAAAUCCGGAAAACUAAGGCUGAGGCGUGAUGACGAGGCACUACGGUGCUGAAGCAACAAAUGCCCUGCUUCCAGGAAAAGCCUCUAAGCAUCAGGUAACAUCAAAUCGUACCCCAAACCGACACAGGUGGUCAGGUAGAGAAUACCAAGGCGCUUGAGAGAACUCGGGUGAAGGAACUAGGCAAAAUGGUGCCGUAACUUCGGGAGAAGGCACGCUGAUAUGUAGGUGAAGUCCCUCGCGGAUGGAGCUGAAAUCAGUCGAAGAUACCAGCUGGCUGCAACUGUUUAUUAAAAACACAGCACUGUGCAAACACGAAAGUGGACGUAUACGGUGUGACGCCUGCCCGGUGCCGGAAGGUUAAUUGAUGGGGUCAGCGCAAGCGAAGCUCUUGAUCGAAGCCCCGGUAAACGGCGGCCGUAACUAUAACGGUCCUAAGGUAGCGAAAUUCCUUGUCGGGUAAGUUCCGACCUGCACGAAUGGCGUAAUGAUGGCCAGGCUGUCUCCACCCGAGACUCAGUGAAAUUGAACUCGCUGU
rnacentral:rRNA from 1 species